rnacentral:sRNA from 1 species
AUCGCUUCUCGGCCUUUUGGCUAAGAUCAAGUGUAGAAAAUACACUUUGAUAUAUAUCAGAGAGAGAGAGAGAGAGAGAGAGAGAGAGAGAGAGAGAGUUAGGUCUCAAAAAUAUCCCCAACACUCCAAAUUUGCCUUUACUUUAGGAGUAAUUAAU